AUUCUGGCUCAGGAUGAACGCUAGCGGCAGGCUUAACACAUGCAAGUCGAGGGGCAUCGGGAGUAGCAAUACUGCCGGCGACCGGCGCAAGGGUGCGUAACGCGUGAGCAACAUGCCCGUAUCAGGGGGAUAAUCCAUGGAAACGUGGUCUAAUACCCCAUAGUAAUUAUGUAAGGCAUCUUAUAUAAUUUAAAGCUUUGGUGGAUACGGAUUGGCUCGCGUGACAUUAGCUAGAUGGUAAGGUAACGGCUUACCAUGGCUACGAUGUCUAGGGGUUCUGAGAGGAAGGUCCCCCACACUGGAACUGAGACACGGUCCAGACUCCUACGGGAGGCAGCAGUGAGGAAUAUUGGACAAUGGAUGGAAAUCUGAUCCAGCCAUGCCGCGUGCAAGGAAGACGGCCCUAUGGGUUGUAAACUGCUUUUGUAUGGGAGCAAUAAGGGCUACGCGUAGUCCGAUGAGAGUACCAUACGAAUAAGCACCGGCUAACUCCGUGCCAGCCGCCGC
rnacentral:rRNA from 1 species